GCUCUCGUAGAUCAGUGGUGGAUCUCCUCCUCACAAUCAUCCGCUUCGAAAUGACUUAUGGAGGCCACGUGGGUUCGACUCCCACCGAGGGCA